GCGGGCGUGGCGGAACUGGCAGACGCGCUGGGCUUAGGCCCCAGUGGAGCAUCGCUCUGUGAGGGUUCAAGUCCCUCCGCCCGCACCA
rnacentral:tRNA from 1 species